GAUGAAGAACGUAGCGAAAUGCGAUAACUAGUGUGAAUUGCAGAAUUCCGUGAAUCAUCGAGUCUUUGAACGCACAUUGCGCCCCCUGGUAUUCCGGGGGGCAUGCCUGUCCGAGCGUCAUUGCUGCCCAUCAAGCACGGCUUGUGUGUUGGGUCGUCGUCCCCUCUCCGGGGGGGACGGGCCCCAAAGGCAGCGGCGGCACCGCGUCCGAUCCUCGAGCGUAUGGGGCUUUGUCACCCGCUCUGUAGGCCCGGCCGGCGCUUGCCGAACGCAAAUCAAUCUUUUCCAGGUUGACCUCGGAUCAGGUAGGGAUACCCGCUGAACUUAAGCAUAUCAUAAGCGGAGGA
rnacentral:misc_RNA from 1 species